rnacentral:rRNA from 1 species
AUGGGUGGCCUGCAUCGGCGCAUGAUGGGAAGAUUUCGCCGCGCCAUCAACGACCUCGCCCUAAAGGAGAUAUACCUCAACGGUCGUUGCUUCACAUGGUCGAACGAGCAAUCGCCUCCCACGAUGGUGCAUCUGGAUCGCAUUCUGUGCACCUCGGAUUGGGAAGAUGCGCAUGGCGAAUGUCACCUCUGA